rnacentral:rRNA from 1 species
UACAGAGACUGCGAGCGUUAUUCGGAUUCACUGGGCGUAAAGGGUGCGCAGGCGGCCAAGUGUGUGAGGCGUGAAAGCCCGGGGCUUAACCCCGGAAUUGCACCUCAAACUACAUGGCUAGAGCAUUGGAGAGGGUGAGCGGAAUUCACGGUGUAGCAGUGAAAUGCGUAGAUAUCGUGAGGAACACCCAGGGGGAAACCAGUGGACUGGGCAUGAGCUGACGCUCAGGUGCGAAAGCGUGGGGAGCGAACCGG